AUUAGGAAUCUUGCACAAUGGGGGCAACCCUGAUGCAGCGACGCCGCGUGCGGGAUGAAGGCCUUCGGGUCGUAAACCGCUUUUCUCGGGGAAGAAGGAUGUGACGGUACCCGAGGAAUAAGCCCCGGCUAACUACGUGCCAGCAGCCGCGGUAAUACGUAGGGGGCGAGCGUUGUCCGAAGUUACUGGGCGUAAAGCGCGCGUAGGCGGUCCCUUAAGUCUGGUGUGAAAGGUUCAGGGCUCAACCCGAACAGGGCACUGGAGACUGGGGGACUUGAGUGCGGGAGAGGAGAGCGGAAUUCCUGGUGUAGCGGUGAAAUGCGUAGAUAUCAGGAGGAACACCCGUGGCGAAGGCGGCUCUCUGGCCUGCAACUGACGCUGAGGUGCGAAAGCGUGGGGAGCGAACGG
rnacentral:rRNA from 1 species